rnacentral:lncRNA from 1 species
AAUUCUAAUAUAAUCCUAAUUAAAAUCCUAAUUUAAUCUUAAUAAAAUCUUAGGUCAAAUCCUAAUUUAAACCUUAAUUGAACCUUAAUCAAAUCCUAUGUCAAACCCUAAUAAAAUCCUAAUGAAAUCCUAAAUCCUAAACAAAUCCUAAACAAGUUUAAGACCAAAUCCCAAACAAAUCCUAAACCAAAGCCUAAUCAAAGCCUAGAUCUUAAACAAACUCUUAAUAAAUCCUAUAGCAAAUAGAACCUCAACAACUAAUAAUCAAACCAUUGAUAUUAAUUUGAAAUUUUCACACUUCUUAAUGUCUUAGUUAAAGACAAGCACAAGAAAGAUGAAAUCAAUUGCACUUACCAAUUGAAAAAAAUGCAAGAUAAUCCAAUCGGGUGUUAAGUAGCCUCCUACUCCAAUCUAAAUGUUGAACUUCUAAUGCCAAUA